CAGACGGUUAUUAAAAAUGUUUAUUUUGCUUUUUAGCUCAAAAGUUAGGACAAUUUUAUCCACGUAUAAUCAUUCUGUAUAUUAUACACUAAAAUUUAGGAGGUUUUCACUGGGAUUGAGGGUAUGAAAGACUGUAAUCUGAGACAUAAUGACUAAAGCUGUAAGACAGCCUAGACUUUAAAAUGCUCUUCUGUGUUAUCGUGAGGUAUACGAAAUUUAAACGCACUUGGAUACAUGUAUUUAGCAGUUAUAGUUAUAUUAGUUGUAUUUCACUCGUAUCUGCUGCUAGUCUUUAUUUCUGUUUUAGGUCUUUGAAAGUUAAACUGUCGCCAUAUGAAGUAAAAAUAUAAAUAAAUAACGCGUCAAUAAAAUUAAACUAGCUUCUCGCUCAUAGAGGUGAGUGCACCCCAUUUUACCAAUAGAACCCCAAAGGAUCUUGUGCACAUGCGCGUUGUGCAAUCUACCGGAGCGCGAGAGGUAGGGAAGGCAGUUCUAAUGGCGGAGAAUGUUCGGUCGCCUUUUGACUACCGGGAGCCACCGACCCUCGACAGCGACGGGGAUGGGAGCAAACCGCCGCCUCCACGGGGCCGUGUGUGUGGGAGGAAAAGGAAGGGAACACCUGUAAAGGUGUGUGACCGAGCAUAUGUGACAGAAGAUGAAGAGGAGGAGAGCAUGUCAGAGCACAGUUACAGCCCCGGUGAUGGCCAGUACCCUGAGGGUGCAGAAGACCGCCUCCCUCCACCUGGCAGUCCCUACUACCUGCCUGACCCCACUCAGCUCUGUGUGCCAGAGUUGGGGGAGGAGGGGGGAAGUGGUGUUCGAGGACCCGUGCUCUUCCACCCGCCGCCAAACUGCCGGAUUCGAGAAGUCCACUGCGGAACCCAGGUGCGAUUAGUUGUCAUAGCGAUCCGAGACAUCGCCAAAGGGGAGGAGAUCACAGUGGACUACAGCCUAACGGACUGGGGCGAGAAUGCACUGGAGGAAGAGGCUGGCCCCCACCCACUAUCGCUCUCUGUUUCUGAUUACCUUACCCCCUCGUGGUCAUUAUCGCCCUCUUCCUCCCCACUCACCCACUCUGAACCCAGUGACUCAGACCGGGAGGAGGAUGAAGAGGAGGAAGAUGAUGACGACGACGACGAUGAUGAAGAAGAGGAAAUGGAAGAGAUAAGGGGUCGAAUGCUUCGGCGCCGCAAGAAACGCAAGUUGCCUGCGGCGGUCAACUCGAAGAAGAAGAAUAAUGCACCCACUUCUUCCAGAGGACCUGGGCGCCCCUGCUCCUCCUUCUCCCGCCCGACACCUGUUGCACCCCCACCUAGAUCCCAGCCCCAGCCCACAGUCAGUUCUCUGACACCUCCAACCACUAACAUAAACAAUAACAUCAACAUAAACAUCGGCAGUUCUAGUGGUCCCACGGUGAGCCGGCGGCAGCACUGCCCGUACUGCGGCCGGCACUACCGAUCCCUGGCACGCCACCUGGAGAAGCACCACGCCAACCAGCCGGAAGUCAGAACAGCCAUGGAGCUGGCACACCUCCACACGCACAGCUCUUCAAAUGGCAGUGCCUCACAACCCCACCCCUCUUCAUCCUCCACCUCUGCUACUCACAGUCAUUCCUUCGCAGUCCCUCAGUCGUCCUCCUCCAACCCAACUCCCCCUUCUCUCUUCCCCAGGGAGAGGGAAUCACCUGCCACCCGUUCGAGCACAGGCGCUGUCUCGUUCUCCCUCUCGCUUUCACCAAAUGCUUCGGCUCAGCCUCCAGCUGCUAAGAAAGCACCCAGCUUACCACUGCCCGCCACAAAACCCCCAGCACCCCCGAUGGUGCCCCGGGUAAAGAGUCCAUCACCUCCGCCACCAUCUACCCCCAGAAGGGGCCGGAGGAUGAAGAAAGAAAAGCACGAAGAGCAGCAGAAAGUCGAAGUGGAAAGCUCAAGAAAUCAAGAGGAGUUAGUUCCGCCUCCUACACCGGAGCCGGACAUUGAUCCAGAUGAAGAGCUGGAGCUGAGUGCAGAAGGGGAGGACGAUGCACCAGAAGAGAAGAAUGGAGAGAUUGUAAGCACACACAGACAUCACAUGUCUCCAUUACUCUCUUCCCUUUCUUGCCUGGUCCUAUAUCUCCGUCGUCAGCAGCACUCCUCCUUCCUUUCUUUGACUCGUUCUCCUCACUCUGCCGAGGCCUGGCGUCUGCUCUGCCACUCCAGCCUCUCUCUGCUCAUCCUCUACAAUCGCCACCGAGAAUGCGAGGUGGCCAAGCUCACUAUCCAGGACUACCGUAACCGCAUCACCCCUCAGCCCAACGCCAGCAACAGCUCCCCUUCUGGCAUGGAAGCUUUCCUGUCCCCCUUUGAGCGCCAGGUCUUGUGUCAUCUCCCACGGGCCGGUGUCUUAGGCAAGCGAGGGCGCAUUCAGCCUCUAAUUCUCCCGCCACACUGCGAAUCCUGCCUCGACCUGCUUCUUCGAACCAGCCCCAACGUGGGGGUGGACCCAGAGAGUCCCUACGUCUUCUCCCGGCCCUACCACUCCCCUGCCACCCCACUUCGCGGCACAGACCUCCUGAGAAACCUGGCUAGAGCCAGUGGUGCUAAAAACCCCGGAGCAUUAACGGCAACACGAGUGCGGCGACAGGUAGCCAUCCUUACCCAGCUGCUACUGCUGGAGGAGGGUGAUGGCCAGGGAGGAGCCAUCAAACGGCUGGAGGACUUCCUGGAGCACGAGUACCACGUGACCCAGAACUGCUCCACUAUCAUACGAGACCCAGCACUGAUGGGUCGUGUGGGUCGAGUCGUUCUCUAUGGAGAGAGGGAGGGAGUGCUUUUCAGAGGGAUGAGCCUGCAGCACAUCUGCCUCGAGUUGGAUGUCAUGUCUGGCAACUCAGCAGAUUCCUUCUCAGAAGAUUCUGAGGCAGAGGAAGUUAAAGAGGAAAUUAAAGAGAAGACGGAGGUCACGGUGAAAAAGAAGGGACCGGGCCGACCUCCGCGGAAGAAAAAGGCGCCCGUUCCGUCACCUGCCAUCAGCCCGUCUUUAGCUAAUGCCCAUAAGAGAAGAAACAUUCCACCUAAAUCAGGGAAGCGCGGUGUCCUGAAGCGUCCCUGGUCAGAAGCCGAGCGUGUAGCAGUGGAGACUCACCUGAAGAGAAACCUCAUGGAACUGCGCGUCCCCGCGAAGGCGGACUGCGAACGAUGCCUCGAACUCUGCCCUCUGUUGGUGAGCAACCAGCGAGACUGGAGGGCGAUCAAGUUCUACGUCCACAACCGCAUCCAGCUGCUGAAGAAGCAGGGGAGGAGGGAGAGCGCGGCUGCAGUCUGCUAGGGCCGAGCGCAGACGCGGCACAGGACAGAUAUCAUAAUGUAAAAACCACCAGCAAUCACAAUGAAGAGGAUAAACUCUAGAUCACGAUGGGACGCAGUUUCUCUUUCCCAUUUAUUUUUAUUUUAUUUUUUACAUGGGUGCCGUACUCUGAAGUAUAGCUGCAUUCCCCGUCUCUGGUCAUAUGGGAGUAGUGUAAUAACAAUGAGUAAGCUAAGAAGACAGAUGGGUUACUCCAGUUCAAGAUGAUGUGUGUACUCGGUGUUGCGGAUGCCCGGUGUCUCUUUUUUUUUAAAUGUCUUUUCAAGCGGUUGUACAAAAAUGUACUUUUGUGUGAAUAUGCAUUGAAACACAAGGAAUGAUUUUUUUUUUUUGUAUUAUUUUAUUUUUAUUUUUUUAAUGUCAUUUUGCUUUACUAGAAAACAGUGGCAAGUGAGUGAGUGUAACGGAGAGAGAGAGAGAGAAGAAACAAGCAACAAAGGUCUCUGACUACAGCAAUUAGUCCUUGGUCUAGCAUUUCUUUCCACUGAAGGCUGAAGACCAAACAUGAAUGUGUAAAGCUUUGGAAGAAGAUACCAGUGGUUCUGAUCUUUAUAACUAGACUACAUGUCAUGUGAAAAAAUGUAUGAAACUGUAUAGUUUGUGUUUGAUACUGACUGACGUUGUUCUCCCAACUCAUGGCUCCCAAAUGAAGAGUGUAUUAAAAAAAGUAUUCUUCAAAAUCUCGGACCAUGAUGCACCUGUGAAGUGUUUUUUGCAAACCUCUAUACCAUGAUCAUAGUCAAACUAGUAUGUAUCAAGGCACGCCUAUUUGAAUUUAUCAAGUAACAUAAUUUAAAAAAAAAAAUUGUAUUUCAAAAUCAACAUAUGGUCUUAUUCACAAUGUAAAUACUUACUAAUCUAUCAAAGUAUGCAGUAGUGAUUACAAAGUAUUGUGUUAUGGUGUACAUACUGUAAAUACUGUCUGUACUUAUUAAAGUGUAUGACAUUUUGCUGUGUUUUCGUAAACUGGUUUGUGUAAGCUGAAAACAGAAGAAAAAUGAAAUGACAAAUUCUCAUCCUGUAUCGAUUUUGUUUAUUUAAAAAAAAAGGUAGUAAUGCAAAAUGUCAACAUUAUCAAACAAAAUGCACAAAGUAUUUCAAAGGUUAUUCUAGUUACAUAUGCAUACCAUACAGAACUUGAAAACAAUACAAAAGACCACUACAAUAGUGCCACAUCACAAAAUUUAAAAUGGAAAGUGAACUAACACAUCAGUACAGCCUCACCCCCACACCGAAAAAGAAAACCUUAAAAACGGUCAUGUGAUGCUAACGAAUCUUAUAGCUACUACACAAGCAACACAUGUCCUAAUCACAGUAUAAGUAACACAUGGAGUGUAUUGGCAGACGUAAAGUAAAACACACAACAUACAACGUAGCAUUGGUUCCACACAAAGAUCAGAGGGGUUUGAGAACAACUGUAAGACUAACCAAGCCACAGACACUGCUUACCGUGUAUAAGAAGGUACUGAGUGAUGCUAACUACUAUUUACAGAUCUGUGGUAUUCUCCCGGAUCAGCUUUAGGUCAAUUAUUGUAUUCUUUGUUACCACAGGGUCAGCUUUAUCAACAACCACAAUAAUCUCUGCUAACAGAAAUAUUUCAAAUCACUGAAACACUGUCAGAUACUGAUGGCUGGAUGUGUAGUGUUCUCUGUUUGUAUUAAUAUUUUUGGUAGUAUUUUACUAUUUUGUAGUAUUUAUGGUUUCUAACAGUGAUAAACUAUCAAUGAUCAGUUGUUGAUAAG
ensembl:lncRNA